rnacentral:tRNA from 1 species
GCCCCCGUGGUGAAACGCACAUCACGUCCUGCUUCGAACCGGAAGGUCCGGGUUGGAUUCCUGGCGGGGGCG